rnacentral:misc_RNA from 1 species
AAACUGCGAUAAGUAGUGUGAAUUGCAUUUAGUGAAUCAUCGAAUCUUUGAACGCACCCUGCACUCACUGGUAUUCCGGUGAGUACGCCUGUUUCAGUAUCAUUGAAAACACACAAUCAAAACAUUUUCUUUGGUUUGAUUGGCUUUGGGUCUAUCAAAAAGUUUGGCUUGUUUCUUACAAGCCAAGCGGCCUGAAAUAUAUUGUCUGGCUAAUUGCAUCGUUGAUGAUCGCUAUUAGACUUUGGCUUUUUUAAAUGAACUGGAGGUUGAUUAACCAGUUUUAGCUUUAGGAAAAUGGUCAUUGUAAAAAAAAUCUCGAUCUUGGCUAGGUGUUUAUAGCCGAAAAUUUUUUUUUGGCUAUAACCGAAACCAAUAUAAUCACAUUUAGUUAUCGAUCUGAAAUCAGGUGGGACUACCCGCUGAACUUAAGC